GGGCGCCCGGGCCGCCUCCCUGCUCUCUCCCGGCGUCUGGCCGCAGCGCCGGCUCCAGGUUUCCCCUCCCAGCGUGGGGUGGCAGCCUGGAGAGGCAUCUGCAGAAACCACGCGAGCCCCGGGGAGGAGAGCCCAUGGUGCACACAUAGGCGCGUGUCGGGGACCCCAAGCCCCUGGGCCCCGGGCACACUCGCAGAACCGCUGCAGGGACGUGGCCCAAGCUGGAAUUGCCCUGCGCACAGGCCAGGACCUUUGGGAGCAGCGACUGUCGAGAUAAGGUCAACGGCGGGCCCGCGGUGACUCAGCUCCCCUUGGCCCCGAGGAAGCUCGGCUGGCCCGGGGGGGCGGGGCCUGCGACGCUCCGCCCCCUGCUCCGGCUCCCGGAAGGCGCCCCACACCACCCCCAGCUUCCCAGAGGCGCCCAGAUUUCCCACGGGUUUUCCUGGUGGUGUCGUAACGAGCCCGGCCCUUUCGGAGCGUCCCAGGACAGGGCCAGACCCUCUGAGGCUUCCUCCCACCCCACUUCCUGUUUCAUCCAGAUGCCAACAUCCACGUGGACUAAUCUGCCGAGAUCAUUCCUGACCUCCAGCAUCACAAUUUCCAAACCUGUUCAGUGUUCCCCAGCUUCUCCUGCCUGACUCGCUGCAAGGUCAGAGAGCCUCUGACAUCUUAGCCUCCUACGUCACAUUAAAGGCCUCAGUGUCCCCUUUCUAGGUUCUGGGCCUCCCUCCACUCCUGCUCUUGAACCUUAACAAUGACUUUUUUUGUGUAUCGGACUGGGGAUUGAGUUACAGCCCAGCCCAUGUUUUAUUCUGAGACAGGGCCCUGCUAAAUUGCUAGUUCCAGGCUAGGCUGGAACUUGCUCUGAUCCUCCUGCUUCAGCCUCCCCAGUGUUCGGAUUACAGGCAUGCACCACCACGUCUGUCAUCAACAACCUUCUGUCCCGACUCAUUUGGAUCAUCUGGACAACCAACCACUUUCUCCAGCCCUAUGUUAGUUAAAGUCAUGCUAUUUGCUAAAACAAACACAUCCCAAACUGUGUAUCAGCUCAACCUAGUUCAUUUCCGGAUUGCAGAACGCUUCUGAGCAGGGAUGCCCGUCCUCCAGGUGAUGAUCCAGGAGCCGGGCUCCGCCAUCUCCAACGUGUGCUUUCCAGGGCUGUCAGGCCGGUGGCUUAGCAGCAGCAGAAAUUUAUUUCCCUUGGUUCAGGGGGCCAAAAGUCUGAGAUCAAGAUACCAACAUGCUCAGGCCCCGGGGGGCCCCUCCUCUGAGCUUCAGACUGCAAACUCCUCCUUGUGUCUCACUUAGGAAGAGACAAGCAGCUCGCUGGCUUCAUUCUACAGGUACAAUCUCAACCCAAAGGCUCUGCCCUUGGGUCCCAAUUACCUCCUAAUACUCCCCCUCCAAAUACUUUUACAGUGGGGGCUUGGGGAGGACACAAAAGUUCAGUCCAUAAAGGCGCAUCAGACUGGACGGAGGGGAAGGGCAGGGUGCAGAAGACACAGCUGCUGGUUCACUGCCCUGGCUGGGAGUGACAUCUCAUUCCUGGUCACCGUGCCAUCAGCAAGACAUCCGGGGCGUCCUGACUCCUCUGAAAGUCACAGGUGUGUGGGGAGUGUGGUGUUCUGGGAAGCCCUUGCUGGCCAGCCUCAGCUGCAGUGUGUGGACAGGUGGGGUGGUACUUUCGGGUGAAGUCAGUUCUCUCUGCUCCAUUCCCUUCCCUUCCCUCCACCACACCCUCCCACCAAGGCCCAGCCCAUACUACAAGUCAGUCAACCUCCCUGAUGGAAUCCUUUGUCCUGGAGAAAGCUGGAGGUGGACAUAUCGGUGCAGAUGAAGAUUUAGGACCCUGAAGCCAGCGAGGCUCUGCAUUGCUGGUACCAGGGAUCGAACUCGGGACUUUGUGCUUUCGAGGCAGGUGGCGGCACCACUGAGCUACAUCCCCGGCCUGUGGGCUCCGAUUCUCAUUUCCCACAAGUUUCUUAAUAACCCUGCUGGCCCAGCCCCUGCCCCAGCCUCACUCAGCACAGGAGAACUUAGGGGCCAGAAUGCUAAGAUGCCCC
rnacentral:lncRNA from 1 species